CGGGGCGUAGCGCAGUCUGGUUAGCGUAUCUGUCUUGGGCACAGAAGGUCACGUGUUCAAAUCACGUCGCCCCGA
rnacentral:tRNA from 3 species